UACAGAGACUGCAAGCGUUAUUCGGAUUCACUGGGCGUAAAGGGUGCGCAGGCGGCCGUGUGUGUGAGGCGUGAAAGCCCGAUGCUUAACAUCGGAAUUGCACCUCAAACUACACGGCUAGAGCAUUGGAGAGGGUAGCGGAAUUCACGGUGUAGCAGUGAAAUGCGUAGAUAUCGUGAGGAACACCAGCGGCGAAGGCGGC
rnacentral:rRNA from 1 species